AGGGGCGGACCAUUAGAAAUCCCGGGAGGGGGGGUAUAAAAUUUUUGCGGCACGAAUUUUUUUUUCAGUCUCGUGUCUCUGCAGGAAUUUUUUUUAAUGCAUUUAACCUCUGCACGAAUUUUUUUCAAGACUAUUUGUACUUCGCUGUUUGCUUGCACGAUUUUUUUUUCUCUGACGUAAUGGCUGCACGAAUUUUUUUCCAGGCAUUUUCCUUUGCACGAAUUUUUUUGGGGGAAUUUUCACCC
rnacentral:lncRNA from 1 species